GACUUACAGAACUUUUAAUGUUUAAAGUAGCUUUUAACUUUUAAAGUAACUUUUACAGACUUAAAAACUUUUUUUCUAUACAGCAGUUCAUUGGAAUCUCAUGUGAUAAUGUGAUUCCUCUACCCAGACAUCAGAUAAACCUAGCAAGUAUUGUAAAACUCAUGGAAAAAAAAGCAGUUCAAAGCAAUGGAAAAACAACACCAGUGUCAAAAUGCCAUGAAGGCCUGGCAGCAGCUUGCCAUGGAAGUGGCUUUCAUGGAGCAGUCUGAGCAGUGUUCUUCAACCUGCCGUGCCAGCCAGCACGUGCUAACAUGUUGUGCAACAGAACCAGUUGGACAAGAAAUCCAGGAGUAUUUAAGAAGCCCAAGGAUGUGCACUUUAUGCCUUUGAGCAGCAGAGGCUUGCUGGGAAUGGCCCCAGACUGUCAGUAACCACAAGAUCUAUCAUCUUCAAUACCUAUAGGACAGAUGGAAGUAGAAAAGGCAGCACGAAAGAGUUUGAAAUAAUGGAGUUAAAACUACUCUAAUGAGAAUACACUUUGGAGAAUAUAAUGAUGAUGAACGAUGCUCAAAGGGAGAAGGGAGCAAUUACCUGGACUGGAUGAUCAGAAGAAAAAGAAACACAUAGGAAGUAUUGGACAUUUUUAACCUUUGAAUUCCAUCAAAGGAAUAUUGGUUUUUAUUCUUCAGUCCAUUACACAGAACUCUGCUCGAGCACAGUCCUCUCUCCCACACUGCGUUGAGAAAUUCUCAGAUGUCUGUAAAGGAUCAGGGAGAAACAAUGCUCAGGACCUCCCUGGCUAUCCCAUUUCUGUCCCAAACUCUGCACACGGGCUGCCAACUACAUAUGAAGAUGCUUUUGCUGAGCUGAAGCUCACUCUGAAUAAGCUGGGGAAAUAAGAAUACCUCAGGAUUGCUCCAAAACUUCAAUACCUUACUCCAAAAAUCUUAGAACUUAUAAAGCAUUUAGAAACCAGAAGGAAAAGCCCCGCUGAACAGGAGAAAGCACUCCCACAUACACAACACUGCAUCAACAGAAACUCCUAAGAGCAGAGCUAUGAAAAUCAGGAUUUCUUCCCUUGUCACAGACCUCUAGAUGGAGCUGCCUCUUUUGUUUUCAAACCGAGCAGGAGCCACUGAAGUACUGCCACAAGGCAAGGCAAGGGGAAUGUAAAGUUUAGGCAUUUGCAAGGGGAGAAUGGAAUGGGAGCAUUACUUUGCAUACGUGUUGUGCUGUCAUUAGAUACUGUCAGCUUCUCCAUAAUUCUUUGAGAAAUCAGCUGUGUUGUCCUUGCUUACAAAAGUCACUCCUUCCAGUUUUUUGGGGGAGAAGAGACAGAUUCAGCUGGAGGGUGCUGAGAUCUCAGUGUAAAGAAUAUCCCUAUGAAGAGGGAAAGGCUGCAAAAAUUUGGAUAACAAAGAACAAUUUUUUCUCCCAUAAAGUGGGUUUCAUUCCAGGAAGACCUACACCAUCCCAUGGACAGGGGAAACAAUUUUCCCAACAGAUCUGGCCAGACUGAAGAGAACUGACAGCCUGAAUGCCAUUCUCAGCCUGCAUGAUCCCAUAAGCCUGGAGAAGAAGCCUUGAGGGGACCACCACGGCCACACCUCGAAUCCUGGGGUCAGGUUUGGGAUCCUCACAACAAGAAAGACUUUGAGGGGCUGGUGCAGAGAAGGGAAUGGAGCUGCGAAGGAUCUGGAGCACAAGUCUGAUGAGGAGCAGAUGAGGGAGCUGGAAGGGGGCUCAGCCUGGAGAAAAGGAGGUUCAGGAGGGACCUUCUGGCUCUGCACAACUCCUGACAGGAGGGAGGAGCCAGGUGAGGGUCAGGCUCUGCUCCCAAGGAGCAAGAGAUAGGACAAAAGGAAAUGGCCUCACCAGAGAAAGUUUAGACUGGAUAUUAGGAACAGUUUCUUCACUGAAAGGGUGGUUGGACUGCCCUAAACAGGCUGUUUGGGGAAGUGAUGGAAAAAUAAUAACAAUCUCUGAAAACCUUCAAAAAACUUUUAUAGGUGGCACCUGAGGACAUGGAUUAGUGGUGGCCUUGACAGUGCUGGGAGAAUCGUUGGGUUUGAUGACCUAAAAAGUCUUUUCCAACCUAAAUGAUUCUCUGCCAGCACUAUGCACAGGAGAAACACCAAGUGUUGUGUCCCACUAUUCCCACCAGGCCUGGGAGCCACAAACCCCAAACUUUGGGAGGACUGAAGAAGCACACAUCUCCUUUUAAAUGUGACCCCUAAAACCCUGUCACCCUUGCACAGAGUGAGCAGCACAAAUAGGCAGGAUCCAGAGUCAGCAUUUCAUAUUCCCUAAUUUCUCAUCAGCCUUAAAAAAGCCUCUGGGAAGACAGAGCAUCCCUGUGUUUCACUGCUGCCAGUGCCUGUUCCUCUAGAGGGUACCCUCAGCCCACAGGGAGCUCUGCUGAGCACUGCUCCUAAUGAAACCUGAAGGCCAGGCCCAGGAAAGUAAAAAUAAAACUUUACAGAAAAGCAUGCUGUAAUUUUAUGAUGCACUUUAAUUUGAUUCUGGUUAGUUAGAGCAGCCCCCUGGGCAGGCUGGGCUGCACUGAGCAGCACAGGGCUGUGCUUUCAACUUCCAGCUCCAGCCUCUCCCAAGGACAUAAAUGUUAAAGCCUCCUGUGCAAUCAAAGACAAAAAUUACUCUGAGGUGUAAAUGAAAAAAACCCAGGAGACCCACAGGAGUUCACAUUUAAAAUACAUAUUUAAUCUUAUUAAAUACAUAAGAGAAAAAAAUGUUCAGAUCUCUCGUGUUAUUUACUUUUUAGUGGUGCCUUAGGGGAGUGAAAUAAACAUAGGACUGCCCUGUACUAGGAACUGGGUGAACACCUAGAAAGAAACACACACCUUGUCCCACAGAAUUUGCCAUCAAAACAGACAAUGCAUGAGGGAAGAAGGAAAACAAACCAAAGAGGGGGGAAAGUGGUGGCCUGAGACUACCCUGGAGGUGGGACAGAGCCAGGACACAGGUCACCAGAUCCCCUGCCAGGGUCCCUGUGCUUGGCUCACCCUGUCUCAGGUGUCCUGUGCUCACAGUGUGCCCUGGUUUCCCCAUGGUUUGGGUUUUUCCUCCUAGGACACAGACAAGGAUGCACAGCUCUUCUGGAAGCCAGCCCCCCCAGUCCUGCUGCAGCUAAACUAAAGCAGGUCACAGGAAAUGUUAACUCACUGAGCAUGACUAAACACCAGCCUAAACUGUCACCUAGCAAAAGGAACCAAAUACUUGGAAAUGACACCUCUUUUCAUUUUUUUCAAAGGAAAAUACACCCAGCUCUUCAAACUCUGCCUGUUCCAGUAGCUCCCAUACCCCUGGAGACUGGUGGCUAAGUCUGCACCUGCCAUGUUCUGAGGGAAGCUCAGAGGGGUUUCG